CCAAUAGCGUAUAUUAAAGUUGUUGCAGUUAAAAAGCUCGUAGUUGAAUUUCGGGAUCAAUAUAUCGGUCGUGCCUUGGUACGUACUGGUAUCAUUGGUUUCUCCUUUCUGACGAACCAUGAUGUCAUUAAUUUGGUGUUAUGGGAAGUUAGGACUGUUACUUUGAAAAAAUUAGAGUGUUUAAAGCAGGCUUUAGCUUGAAUACAUUAGCAUGGAAUAAUGAAAUAGGACGUUCGAACCUAUUUUGUUGGUUUCUAGGAUCAACGUAAUGAUUAAUAG
rnacentral:rRNA from 1 species